ACCUGACUUCACUCACUCCUAAUCAAUGCUCUACUCUAUAUGUACCGCCCAUUUCCUUUGUUCUGGCUGGCAGCAACACGAAGCAGCAUGUGAGGGCCCUCUGUCCCUGGGAUUCAGAUACAAAACCUAUGGUUGUGCGUGAUAAAAAAACCAUAACCGUCAAGCCUCACCAUCUCCUAUUGCUCUCAAUGUGUGCAUAGUGACAAUAAAUGGCUUAAACGGAAA